CGGUCCCAAAGUGUGGAAGGUUUGUGUGGCACAAUACCGGCCAGAUGGGAAUCCUCUGCCAGACUCUCAGAAAGACCCAAAGUGGACACUGCACAUAAAGACUACAGAGCAGCACAGCAAACCCAGUUCCCUUCCAGCUGUGGCACCAGAGAAAGUGAAAGCUGUCACUUUUCUGGGGACUUCUUCCUUGGCUGCUGAG